rnacentral:rRNA from 1 species
GACAGAGGAUGCAAGCGUUAUCCGGAAUGAUUGGGCGUAAAGCGUCUGUAGGUGGCUUUUUAAGUCCGCCGUCAAAUCCAGGGCCGUCAACCCUGGACAGGCGGUGGAAACUACCAAGCUGGAGUACGGUAGGGGCAGAGGAAUUCCGGUGGAGCGGUGAAAUGCUUAGAUAUGACAUAGAACACCAAUUGCGAAGGCAGCUCACUACACAAUGAUUGACGCUGAGGCACGAAAGCGUGGGGAUCAAACAGG